rnacentral:rRNA from 1 species
UACGUAGGCAGCGAGCGUUGUUCGGAGUUACUGGGCGUAAAGGGUGUGUAGGCGGUUGUUUAAGUUUGGUGUGAAAUCUCCCGGCUCAACUGGGAGGGUGCGCCGAAUACUGAAUGACUUGGAGUGCGGGAGAGGAGAGUGGAAUUCCUGGUGUAGCGGUGAAAUGCGUAGAUAUCAGGAGGAACACCGGUGGUGUAGACGGCUCUCUGGACCGUAACUGACACUGAGACACGAAAGCGUGGGUAGCAAACAGG